rnacentral:lncRNA from 1 species
GAACCAAGUUUAACAAUAAAUCACUAUAAUAUUGAAUAAUCUUAGGCAACACUUUUAAAACUCAUGAGUAGACAACUUACAAUACACAACGACAAGUUGUCUAACUUUCAAGUGACAUAAUUCUCAACGCUAUUGAUUUAAAAUAUGUACAACACAUCAAUAAAGUAGAGUAGACUAAGUGUUGCAGCGGAGUAAUUCAUGUGGAUUACAUGUAUGAAGACAUGGAAUCCUGAGCCUGGUUUAAUACAUAUACAUCAAAGACUUUGCUCUGCUUGCUACCAUCUGCAUCACAGCUUAACCUGCAUAUUUAGAAACAUACGCAGGGCUGAGUACCAAAAAGCACUCAGUGGUCAUGCCGAAAUAACUUUAAAACUUGCUCUUAGAGCUAUAUAUUGAACUUGCCAUCUCAAACAUCACACAGGAGUUUUAUUUAAAUAACCUGUGUAUGCGAAACUGUAAAACUUCUCUAUAAUCAUCAUCACAUCAUAUACGUGUGCAGACAAUUAACAUGUAUGUACCAUAUCUACGCAUCAUAUAACUUUAAGUGUUGAGAAGUAGGCCUCCUUCUCAAACACGAUGACAAGCUAACUCAAAGGUUAACUGUUAUCUCUGUGUACACAAAUCCUGACUCGCUCAGGACCCGAAUUCGUUCUUCUAUGUAGAUGGUAUCAUACAAAUCUCAAAUAUUGGCAAGUCAAUAAUUGGAAAAUAAAUGCAUACACUCAAACUUUAUAUAAUAAAGUAUGCAUCUUUACUUCUUGAGUUAGUAAGCCCACCUGAUACGCUUAAUGAAAUAGAAGUCUUUGCUUGUUCAUUCUACACUGCCACUCGAACCUUCAUUAUAAUGAGGUUCCCAGGUAAGAUUGGAUAAUAAGUAAGUAAAUAGGAAAUAAAUCUUGAAUGGAACUUCUAUCGCUUGAAAGUUGUAGUAUUCUACUUUUAUGGACUUAACUAACUAAAAGCAAACAAUAACAUCAUAUCUCUUGGGAUAUCUCAAGUUGAAAAAGUAUAAGAGUAAACUAAUCCAUUCCAUAUAGAUUAGCUUACAAUUAAUAACUAAAACAUCAAUUCAAGAAUUGACCAAUGACUUAAGCAUAGUUCUACUCAACUAUCCCAAGUAAGUAACUUCAAAUAUGUAAUCAUAUAUGAAUCUCAACUUUGAAAAAUCAUAUAAAAUCAACCUCUUUCAAAGAAAAAUACAAGCUUUACCUUUUUAGAAAGCUCUUAAAGUCUAUUUUUAUUAGAAAUUUACAAAAAUACAAUAUCUCAAGUGUAUGAGAAGUUAUAUCAAGAAAGGCAGAAUCUGCCACUGAACUUCGCUGCUUCGCGCAGUACAUUUCAGAAAAUAGUUUGACACAUCUAAUGGUCUCGGAUUUAGCUGAAAUUUUGCAGACACGUACUACUCAUGAUGAAGUUAUUACUGUAAAAAUUUCAAGAUAUUUGAACCACGGGAACACCCUCAAAAGUAUCCCUCAAUACACUGUCCUGUACAGCCAAGAACUGACAGCAGGGGUAUCUCUUACUUCAACUCAACAAAAUACAUAUCUUGGCUAAAUAAAGUGAUGUAGGGCUCAAAUAUACAUCAUCUUACUACAUACUAGCAUGCUUGAAAUCCUCCAAUUUCUAUCAUAUAGUUUAUUUUACAAUCUCAAGAGUACAAUUAUACAAGUUUCAAACAUAUGGCUAUCUUACAUCAAGAAUUCCCAAAUCCACUUAUAAACUAACAAAAUCCAUCUCACAAACUAUGUGGUGUAAACUCAUAAUUUACUCAUAUAUGACAUAAUUCCAACUCAAGAACACAUAUAUGAGUCCAAUUAUUCAAGAACAUAAUCAUAACUCUCAACCUCAAACCUAGGGUUCAUACUAACUUGAGUAAACUCGAAAUCAAGUAAGAAUUAAUACAAUUAACUAGCAUAAUCACGGUUAGGAACAUCAAAGACAUACUAUAUCUCAAUAUUAAAAUCAUACUUCAACUCUAGUAUGAAAUCCCCAAAUUUUCGAAACCCUAGACUUCAAAAUAUAAUUUUUCUUCAAGCUAAAAUCACAAAUAGAUGGAGAAUCAAAGAAUUCACCUUUCUUUCAAAAUAGUGCUGCUACUGCUUGACAUAUCUCUACGAAAUUAAGCUUGAAGGUAAGAAAAUGGUGAUUUUUGAUUUCUUUUGGGGAUGGGGAGAUGGUCGACUGUUUUGGGGAGAAGAAAAGGAAAUGAAUCUCCUCAAAACUAAUAUAUACACUUUACAAUAAAUCAAUACUUAUCUCAAACAUUAAAAAUCCAUUUAUAGAACUGAGCAAUAUAAUUCAAACCUCAUUUCCCUUACUGAUCGGCCCAUUAGGGGUUUUAAAAUCCUUCACUUUAACUAACUCUCACAAAAUAAUUUAACAUUCCUCUCAUAAUUUAAUAAUAUAAAACCUCAAUUGAAUAAUUUGAAAGGUAAUCUCAAUAAUUAAAAAUAAUAAUAAAUCUCAUAUUCAUGGUUUAAUAAUAAAUCGUCACUAUUAAAAUAAGAAAGCUCAUAAAUAAAUAAUUAAAUAACAUAUGUCACUUCAAUUAGUCGAGCAAUAAAUCGACUAAUAAUAUUUCGUAUUUAUCACCAAUCUCAUCUCUGAAAAUAAUAAAAUAAUCCUUAACUAGGAAUUAUAAACUUGUUUCCAAGAAUAAAAUAAUAAAGGAUGCAAGAAUACUUAACUAUUCAAAUUAUGCAAUUAGUCACCGAAUCAAAAGCUCAGGGUAUUAAAAUAAUAUCUCAUCUCAUCUCAGUGAUUCUACUCCUCUUUCUUCUUUUAGAUAAUAGAAAAUAGAAAAUAAUAUUAAUAAUAAUAUAUAUACUGUAGUGAAAAUGCUGGGUGUUACACUUGCAUCCACCGAAGUCGGAGUCUGAAAAUCCGGUGAGCUUGAUGUCGUCCUCUGCUGGGUACCACAAUCCUAAAUUGGGUGUGCCCUUGAGAUAUCUCAGAAUCCGCUUAGCUGCAUCUAAAUGAGCUUCCUUAGGAUCUGAUUGAUAUCUUGCACAAACCCCGACUGCAAAUGCGAUGUCUGGUCUGCUCGCAGUCAAAUACAGCAAAGAUCCAAUGAUUUCUCUGUACUUCUUCGAAGAGACAGAGCUUCCUUCUGAACCUGGAUCAACUUUCCAGUUUGUGUUCAUUGGGAUCUUGAUUGACUUCAUGUGCUGAAUACCGAACUUAGCUAUCAGCUCCUUCGCAUACUUGGACUGGCUGAUCAGUAUUCCUUCUUUGGUCUGCUUGACUUGCAAUCCGAGAAAGAAAUUCAUUUCUCCCAUCAUGGACAUUUGGAAUUUGUUCUUCAUGAUGUCAGCAAACUUAUUGCACAUGUGUUCGGAUUUGGAUCCGAAGAUUAUGUCAUCGACAUAAAUUUGAACAAGCAAGAGAUCUUCUCCUUCUUUGAGAGUGAACAACGUUCUGUCCACAGAUCCCUUUUUGAAGCCUUGUUCAAUCAGAUACUCCGAGAGAGUAUCAUACCACGCUCUUGGUGCUUGCUUCAACCCAUAGAGCGCUUUCUUCAGCUUGUACACCUUUCUUGGUCCAGCAGCCUCAAAUCCUGGAGGUUGUUCUACAUAGACUUCAUCUGUGAGCACUCCAUUGAGAAAUGCACACUUGACAUCCAUUUGGUGUACCUUGAAACCUUUGUGAGCUGCAAAAGCUAAGAAGAGUCUGACUGCUUCCAAUCUGGCAACGUGGGCAAAUGUCUCGUCGUAGUCGAUUCCUUCUUCUUGACUGUAUCCUUUAGCUACAAGCCUUGCUUUGUUUCUCACAACGUUUCCUUCUUCGUCUUUCUUGUUCUUGAAAAUCCAUUUCAAGCCAAUCACCUUUGCAUCGUCUGGUCGAUCCACAAGCUCCCAAACAGAAUUCCGGUUGAAUUCAUUGAGUUCUUCUAGCAUUGCGAUGACCCAUUCUGUGGACUUCAGAGCUUCUUCAAUAUCCUUCGGCUCUGUAGUUGAUAAGAAACAGCUGAAAUUCUUAUCUUCGUUGAUGCAGUUCUGAUUGAUGUCGAAGACGAGGUUGCACAUAGAUCUCCGAGUCUUGACGCCAUCUGAUGGUUCUCCAAUGAUGUUCUCCUUAGAGUGGAGUUCAAACCAUCUUCGAUAUUUCUUGAUUUCUUCAGGAGAUGGUGGAGCUUCUUCAGUUAGAAUAGCUCUGGGAUGUUGAGCACUUUCUGGAGCAGGGAGAGUUGAGCUGGGGCGGUUUCUGCGCGUUCAACUUGAACUUCAGCAACUGGAGUUCCCCCUUGACUAUUGCCAUCUGUAUUGGCUCCAGUUUGAACUUCAGACCGUUGGUUGAUCUUCUGAUACUGAAGCAUCUCAGUAUCUUCAUCCUUGCCAGGUCCCCAUACCAAGACAGUAGAGGGCUCGUCAGUAUGGAUUUCAGCUUUGGAACCUUCAGUGAUCUGAACAUUCUUUUCAGCAUCUUGUUCCCUGAAACCAUCUGUAGACUCAUCAAAGAUCACAUGAGGUGUUUCUUCUACACAUAGAGUUUGAGUAUUGAACACUCGAUAGGCUUUGCUUGAACGUUCUGUUCCGGAGUAUCCAAGGAAGACUCCUGGAUCAGCUUUGCCAAUCGAAGGUGUUCAACCUCUUCUUAUCGUUGUUGUGUAUGAAACACUUAGAACCGAAAGCAUGAAAGUGGGCAAUCGAUGGCUUUCUGUUCUUCCAUAACUCGUAUGGAGUUCUUCCAUGUCUCUGAGUGAGGAAGGAGCGAUUCUGCGUGUAGCAUGCGUUGUUGACUGCUUCGGCCCAAAAACUUCAAGGGGAGUUUUGACUCGGCUAGCAUCGUCCUUGCUGCUUCCUUUAGAGACCGGUUUCUUCUCUCUGCAACUCCAUUCUGCUGUGGAGUUCUUGCUGCAGAAGUUUGAUGACUGAUUCCUUGUUCAUCACAAUACUCACGAAUGACAGUAUUGAGGAACUCAGUCCCACGAUCUGAUCUGAUGCUGAUGAUGUUGACUUCCUUUUCAACGCUCAGUCUCUUCAACAGCUUUGGCAGUUCCUCCAGUGUCUCCUUCUUUUUGAAAAGAAAGAUAACCCAGGUAUAUCGUGAAUAAUCAUCCACAACUACCAAGGUGUACUUCCUACCGUUGUAGCUUCUUGGAGUGAUCGGGCCAAACAGAUCCAUGUGAAGUAGAUGCAGAAUCCUUUCAGAGGAGUGUCCUGUCUUUGACUUGAAUGAUGUCCGCGUCUGCUUUCCUCUGAGGCAUGCUUCACAUUCUUGCUUCUUCUGGAAUACAAUAGAAGGGAGUCCUUCUACCAGUUGAUGUUUAGUCAAGUUUGUUGAUCGUCUUGAAGUUGAGAUGGUUGAGUCUCUUGUGCCAUAGCCAAUUGAGCUCUGAGCUGCUUUUACUGAUGAGGCACGUUUCUGGUGGGCUGUCUUCCCAAGAAACGACGUAGAGACUUCCUUGUCUGAAUCCCUUCAGAACCACCUUCUUCUGAUUGUUUCUAACAGUGAAUUCAUCCUUUUUGAUUUUCACUGUGAAACCACUGUCACAAAAUUGACUCACAGACAACAGAUUAUGUUUAAGACCAGAAACAAAGCUAACAUUACUGAUACUGGCGUUACCCAUGUUGAGCACACCAUAGCCUUUUGUUUCUCCAAUCGAGUUGUCUCCGAAUGCAACUUUGGAUCCAGCUUUCUCAACAUACUGGGAUAGAUAUUCUUUGUAGCCCGUCAUAUGCUUCGAGCAGCCACUGUCCAGAUACCACGUUCUGAUUGAAGCUUUGGCCUCUUCCUUCUUUUUAUGUUUCCUGACAUUGACCUGCAAGAAAGAGUUGCUUCAGGCACCCAAUCAAGCUUUGGGUCCUUCAAUGUUAGUUCGAGUUCCCUUUGGAACCCAAAUCUGCUUCAGAAUUGGUCUGGCUGAUUUCUUGCGCUUUGUUGGAUGUCUGAUCGGUGUCGUUGGCGCUUCAGGUGGCAUAUGAGCAUUCUUCCGUUGAGAAAUCCUAUUGAAGGCCUCACUCUUGUAGCAGUUCUGUCUGGUGAGUGGUUGAGGUCUUCUUUGCUCGCCGAAGUAUCUUCCGUGAGAUACUUUAGUCUUUGCAGACUUAUGGAGAUUUGUCUGACGUCCAGUGGCUUGUCGUCGAGGAAGUGGCAUGGCUCGACUGGACUCAGCAUUGCUUGAUCUCCAUGGAUGUUGUUCUUUCUGAAACUGAACUGAGGAUGUCAGUUUCUGACUGAUGUGGCCUAUCUUCCUCCUGGGUUGAUGAGAAAGAUUCUUCUUGGCUCCUGAUGUUCCUUCCCGGAUCUUUGACUGAAAUCUGCUUUCCAGCCUUUUCAAUAUGAUGAUCUGGUUGGGAGCCUCCUUAGCUCGUCUGUAGCUUCGUGGAGGUGGAACAUUUGAUCUGGCCAUCAGUCUGCGCUUGUGAACUUCAUCCAUAUCAUGAUCUCUUGAUUCUUCUGAGGUUGUGAUUUCAGAAGGAUCAUUCUUAGAGAUGAUCAUGAUAUCCUUUCCUUUGGCAGCUGCAACCUUUCCUCCGAUGCUGUUGACCAGUCCUUUCGAUGGAAAGUUGCUCAUCAUGGGAGACUGCAUCAUGCAGUUCUUGACUGUUUCUUCCAGCUUGUGAUUAAGCCUUUUGAUUUCAUGAGAAGCUCUUUCACAUUCUGAGUUGGAGAUUCUGAGCUCUUCUUCCAGUCGGCUGUUCUCCAUGAUUAGCUGAUCAAGACAUGUUUCAUCCGGAAAGUAGAUGAUUGUCUGAUGUUUAGCUCGUUCAUCAUCGAUCUCCUUGUCCUUUUUCUGAUUCUGCUUGAGGAGAUCUUCGAACAUUUUCCUCAGCUGACAGUGAUCAGUCAGGAGCUGAUCAAACUCGUCAGUUCUAACGGAUGAGCUAUCUCCAGAUUCUGAGUGGUCUCCUGAAAGCAUCAGGUAAGUUAUCAGUAUAUGGAGUUUUCGUGAGUAGAUUUUACCUCUGGGCCAUUCAUUCCAUUGUCGUAGCUGUUGUCAGCUACACUUUCUGAUAUCGUUGGCCAUCAGGGCUUGUCUCUGAUCAUCUGAGCUUGACCAGUCAAAGUCGGAUUGCUUUGGCAUUUGUAAAUGUAAAUCACUUCACUGCUUGUUUUGCCUUGCUCAAGAUUCUGUAGGUAGCAUACUGUAACAUUUUCAAAUCCAUUAGACAUCGAAAACCUGUCGAUCUUGACAGUAGGUCAGUAGCCUACGAUAAUCACCAUAGGUCACUCAAACUCUAGAAUGCUCAAUUCAGGUUCCUUCAAAAACACCAAUAGGGUUCAUUUUAAACACAUAUAACAUCACAAACCUGCAAUAGAGAUAGAAUACUCUACAAGGCUACUUGUCUAUACUGGUACGUGAUAGGACCAACAGGGUUGACGACUGAUACUGAAAGCUCUUCAGUAAUGAGUUAUCAGUUAAGUUGCUGGAACUUAACUGAUCCAAGUAAGGGCUUCAGUCGUGUUUGCUAAGAUAGAGAUGAUAUCACUCUUCCUUACUAUCAGAGGAUAGUUCAGUCAGAUAGAUAUCAUACGCAGCGGAAAUUAAACUUCGUUUUGUAAUAGCCUCGGUGGAGCAGAUAUUGGUGUUUAGCCCUAUUUUGUGAUGAAUCUCUGGGUGUUUACGUGUUAUAUUGACUUUUAUUUUGGUCUCUUUCACUUAAGAGUUGAAUGAUUUGAGCUUUUGUGCUAAUUUUGUUGUCUCAGGAUUUUGUGCUCACAUUGAUUGAUAUGUGAACAAAAUUAAAGUCAGAAUUUAGUUGAAUGGUCUGAAGAAGAAUCAAAGUUCGUCUCGAUACGAGUUCGUAGGCGAAAACGGAUCUAAAAUCCGACUUGAAACGAGGGAGAACGGACCAAAACAAAAAUGCUGCGCAUUGCAGUCUGCGAAAGGCAUACACGGCGGCGCCGUGGCACGGCGCGCGCCGUGCACGGCGGCCGCCGUCCCACGGCGCCGCCGCCUCUGUUCAGAUCCGAAAGUACGAUUUUUCGAUUAAAAACCCCUUUCUAGGGUUUUACUUUAUCAUCUUCGAACCCAGCAGCCUCUAGAGGCGAUUUCCACAUUUUUCCUU